GGCUCGGCUCUACCACCAUGGAUCUAGGUGGGCUCAAUGUCAUCACAAGGGUGCUUAAGAGGGAAAGAGGAAGCCAUGAGGGUCAGAGUCAAAGGAAGACUUGAAGAUACUACACUGCGGACUUUACAGAUGAAGGAAGGGGCGAAAACCAAGAAUGUGGGAAGCCUCUAGAAGCUAGAGAAGGCAAGGAAACAAAUUUUCCACUAGAGCCUCCAGAAGGAACACAGCCCUGCUGACCCACUGUAAUGUCUGACCUCUAGAUGUGUAAGGGUAGUAAGACUGAAAGUCUCAGAAAGGCACUGUUACAUUCUUAUUCCACAACUAUGCAACUCGAAACUGGGGUCCUCAGCAGUGAGCGAGGGGUGAGAGAAGACACUGUAUAAACAUGGCACAUCCUCCUGGAAAGUCAACUUUACUCAAAGACUGCAGGCCGUAUUAUGCUAAAUCAAGGAUACGGGGAGAUAAUUAACAUAGCAACUCUGGCAAGUUUAAUAGGUUCUUACACACAGUGACAGCUAGCAGAGUCUAAAAUGCUGACAUUAUGACUUAGAGAUGUGAUAAAGAGAAACAUCUACUGCAUUUUCUGUGACAGUCUCAUGUUGGCCAUGGGGUACUCUCUGCAUCAUGCUAGAAAGAGUUUAUGGUCCCACCUGCAUCCAUGAGAAAGAGAAAACAAAGCUUCAAUUUUAAGUCCUUGGAAAUUCCAUGCCAUUAAGAAACUGCUACUGCCAGCUUUCUGGCGUUAUUUAAAGGGGUAAAAAGUUCAUUACACUAGUGUUCUUAUAAGUGUUGGUUUUAUUUCAUAUUAUUUGAAGAGCUAUUCUGCUUAGUAACAAUAAAUUGCUUGGAAGAUGUCAGACCUGUGUUUGGGUUAGGGGUUGCUUUUAGCUGCAGGUAAGAACACUUACAAAAGAGGGGCUUAAAUGCAACAAAAGGGGAAGGGCUAAGGGCAAAAGGCACAUGACUUCAGCAUCUGUCCCUUAUAGCGACAACCAUAUUUUCUCUAGAUGCUCAUUGAACAGAACUAUUUCUCAUGGUCAAUCACAACCAAAAGACAGCUUGGGAAAUUCAGGAUUUUAACAGGGCACACUUCCUAUGCUGAACAAAAUCUGAGUUCUUAAUUUUAAAAAAGAAGAGAAUGAUAUUAGAGAGAUACAUGUUGCAUAAUAGUUAUUUAACUGUUCGUGUUUAAUAAAGAUCACUUCAUAUCAAA
rnacentral:lncRNA from 1 species